rnacentral:rRNA from 2 species
AACUUUCAACAACGGAUCUCUUGGUUCUGGCAUCGAUGAAGAACGCAGCGAAAUGCGAUAAGUAGUGUGAAUUGCAGAAUUCAGUGAAUCAUCGAAUCUUUGAACGCACAUUGCGCCCCUUGGUAUUCCAUGGGGCAUGCCUGUUCGAGCGUCAUUUGUACCUUCAAGCUCUGCUUGGUGUUGGGUG